rnacentral:rRNA from 1 species
AGGACGAACGCUGGCGGCGUGCUUAACACAUGCAAGUCGAGCGGAAAGGCCCUUCGGGGUACUCGAGCGGCGAACGGGUGAGUAACACGUGAGCAACCUGCCCCCGACUCUGGGAUAAGCCCGGGAAACUGGGUCUAAUACCGGAUACGACACACCACCGCAUGGUGGGGUGUGGAAAGUUUUUCGGUCGGGGAUGGGCUCGCGGCCUAUCAGCUUGUUGGUGGGGUAGUGGCCCACCAAGGCGACGACGGGUAGCCGGCCUGAGAGGGCGACCGGCCACACUGGGACUGAGACACGGCCCAGACUCCUACGGGAGGCAGCAGUGGGGAAUAUUGCACAAUGGGGGAAACCCUGAUGCAGCGACGCCGCGUGCGGGAUGACGGCCUUCGGGUUGUAAACCGCUUUCAGCAGGGACGAAAACAGACGGUACCUGCAGAAGAAGCGCCGGCUAACUACGUGCCAGCAGCCGCGGUAAUACGUAGGGCGCAAGCGUUGUCCGGAAUUAUUGGGCGUAAAGAGCUCGUAGGCGGUCUGUCGCGUCGGAUGUGAAAGCUCGAGGCUUAACCUCGGGUCUGCAUCCGAUACGGGCAGACUAGAGGCAG